rnacentral:misc_RNA from 1 species
UGUGGGAGCGGGCUUGCUCGCGAUGCAGGCGCUGCGGUUCUUCAGUAAAACCGCAUCGACCGCCAUCGCGAGCAAGCCCGCUCCCACA